UCUCCGUAGGUGAACCUGCGGAGGGAUCAUUACAAGUGACCCCGGUCUUACCACCGGGAUGUUCAUAACCCUUUGUUGUCCGACUCUGUUGCCUCCGGGGCGACCCUGCCUUCGGGCGGGGGCUCCGGGUGGACACUUCAAACUCUUGCGUAACUUUGCAGUCUGAGUAAACUUAAUUAAUAAAUUAAAACUUUUAACAACGGAUCUCUUGGCUCUG
rnacentral:misc_RNA from 1 species